rnacentral:rRNA from 1 species
ACAUGCAAGUCGAGCGGUAGCACAGAGAGCUUGCUCUCGGGUGACGAGCGGCGGACGGGUGAGUAAUGUCUGGGAAACUGCCUGAUGGAGGGGGAUAACUACUGGAAACGGUAGCUAAUACCGCAUAACGUCGCAAGACCAAAGUGGGGGACCUUCGGGCCUCAUGCCAUCAGAUGUGCCCAGAUGGGAUUAGCUAGUAGGUGGGGUAACGGCUCACCUAGGCGACGAUCCCUAGCUGGUCUGAGAGGAUGACCAGCCACACUGGAACUGAGACACGGUCCAGACUCCUACGGGAGGCAGCAGUGGGGAAUAUUGCACAAUGGGCGCAAGCCUGAUGCAGCCAUGCCGCGUGUGUGAAGAAGGCCUUCGGGUUGUAAAGCACUUUCAGCGGGGAGGAAGGCGGUGAGGUUAAUAACCUUGUCGAUUGACGUUACCCGCAGAAGAAGCACCGGCUAACUCCGUGCCAGCAGCCGCGGUAAUACGGAGGGUGCAAGCGUUAAUCGGAAUUACUGGGCGUAAAGCGCACGCAGGCGGUCUGUCAAGUCGGAUGUGAAAUCCCCGGGCUCAACCUGGGAACUGCAUUCGAAACUGGCAGGCUAGAGUCUUGUAGAGGGGGGUAGAAUUCCAGGUGUAGCGGUGAAAUGCGUAGAGAUCUGGAGGAAUACCGGUGGCGAAGGCGGCCCCCUGGACAAAGACUGACGCUCAGGUGCGAAAGCGUGGGGAGCAAAACAGGAUUAGAUACCCUGGUAGUGCACGCCGUAAACGAUGUCGAUUUGGAGGUUGUGCCCUUGAGGCGUGUCUUCCGGAGCUAACGCGUUAAUCGACCGCCUGGGGAGUACCGGCCGCAAGGUUUAUAACUUCAAUGAAUUGACGGGGGCC